rnacentral:rRNA from 1 species
CCUACGGGACGCAGCAGUGAGGAAUAUUGGUCAAUGGGCGCGAGCCUGAACCAGCCAAGUCGCGUGAGGGAUGACGGCCCUACGGGUUGUAAACCUCUUUUGUCGGGGAGCAAAUUCCGCCACGUGUGGCGGAGUCGAGAGUACCCGAAGAAAAAGCAUCGGCUAACUCCGUGCCAGCAGCCGCGGUAAUACGUAGGUGACAAGCGUUGUCCGGAUUUACUGGGUGUAAAGGGCGCGUAGGCGGAUGUGCAAGUCAGUCGUGAAAUACCGGGGCUCAACCCCGGGGCUGCGAUUGAAACUGCACA